ACACGUAAAAGGAGCUCAUUCGGAGGCAGGGGCACGCGCUUGUCCCCAGAACUCAAACCCCAGAGUCCCUCCGGCAGAUGAGAGUGGAGGUUGUAAAUCACCCUCCAUGCAAUGGUUCAUCAUAAAGGAUAUGGAGCAAAAUUAGAGGAGGCACGAGAAGGAAAGCCGGUGAUGAACAAGGAAAGUGCCUGGUUGAAGCUAGCUUGCAAUCCCAAAGUCAGAAGGUUGCCUGGGAAGCCAUGAAACAAAGCCAAAUCAAGGCAAAGCAGACACAUGGAGAUUUUGAGACUGAGAAGAGGAAAACUGAGGACAUUCAUGUGAGAUGGUUUCAAGUUUCCCUUAGAAGGAGAAGUUAUCUUCAGAAGGUCAGGUUGGUGAGGUGGGAGUUCAAAAACAACAAAGUAUGUAGCUACCAUUGUGAGGAAGACCAUGGAAAAUGGACGAAUCAGAAUGAAAGGCUUUCUGAACAAGACUCCCUCCUGCCUGCUGCCAUGUGAGACCUGCGUUUUGCCUUCCACCAUGACUGUGAGGCCUCUUCCCCGGCCAUGUGGAACUCCCAGAGACAGAAGCAGAUAAUGCAAGUGUCAUCUACAUCUGGCAAAAGCCAAAGGUUUGGAAGAUGGAAAAAGGAAUCCAGGCAAAAAGGAGCCCAAGAUUGAAGUGAAUGACCAGGUGCACCAGUUCAAAUGCAAUCAGGAGGGACAGGGGUAGAGGGAGAAGCCUAGAGCAGCGCUUCUCAAACUGACUAUUCAAGUCACCUGGAGAUCUUGGUGAAAUGCAGACUCUGGUGCAGUAGGUCCUGGCGGGAACUUGAAAUUCUGCAUUUUGACCAAGGUCCAAGGUGAAUGUCCAGUGCUGUUGUCCUUGGCCUGCAGCAGGAGGAGCAGGGAUCUAAGACUUGGAGAGCAAAUGUCAAGCUCAGAAGAAAGACUGGAAGUUUGGGGACAAAACCCAAAUAUGGCUAAAGAAAGCCUGUAGGAUGAAGUUGGAAGUUCCAGAGCCUUCUCUUCACAUAAUGGGACAUGCAAGGGGGAAACCAAAUCAAAAGUGUAGAAUGCGUCGCUGGAUGUCUUUGACAUGUUAUUGUUCUGAUAGAAUAUCAGCGGGGAGCUACUGAGGACCUCCUCACUACCCUCCCUUGGAAGAGUUUGUCUGCAAUGGAGCCAACACAGUGGAAAGCAGAGCUGAGAAAUGGACAAACAACUCCUGAUGCCUCAUUUGAGCACCUGGAUUUAGCCAUGUCUGAAGCUAUUAAUCUUCCCCACCAAGUUAGAACCUGUGUCAUGUUCCUCUGAACUGUGUUUGUCCCCUUCGGGGGACCCCACAUGCUACGGACACCUGAUGAUUCGACCUGUUCACCAUCCCUUCAGCCCUGAACUGGCAACAGUAUCCUCAUUAUUCAUGAGAAAACGAUUCCUCCUCCCUUCCCAGACCAUGAGGAUUGAGUGGAAUUCACUCCAUCCUUCUCAGCUCCCUGGUGAGUAGGUGGCUGGAACUAGUCAAUGAGUAUAUUUCAACCCAGGGAUGGGAAUGUAGCCAACUCUGAACAAUGAGAGUCAGCCUCAGGAUUCUAAUGGAAGUGUCUGUAAGAAAACUCUGUCUCCACCAGACCAGAAACUGGCAGGGUACAAGCCUACAACUGUUGGCAGCCACCUUACCACCACCCAGGGAGUCUGUGGCUGGGCUCCCUAAGAAGAAGACUCUGAGGCAAGGAUUUCUGUGCAAGAGGUUUAUUUUGGAGACUCCCAGGAAGCAUGGGAAGGAGAAUAGGAAAGUGAGACAGGAAAGAGAAGGGGGCUAAAUCAGAGUGCAUUGGAGAGCAGGCUGCCACAGCGGGCAACUGAGGCUUAGCACUGUUGGAAACAUCUGGAGAAAAUAUAGAACAUGUCCAGGAGUCCUCCCAACCAAAGACCGUAGUAAUUCAUUGUUGAAUCUACUAAAUCGAUCUGUCUUUGGCUGAAGGCUGCUACCAGGGCUGUUAACUCCCUGGUUCUUCUGCCUGCCCACAACAGACUGAACCAGCCCCUGUGGGAAGAGAAAGCCCCCAGGCUGAGAAUCAACUGAGCUGCAUUGAGGAGCCCCAGGUGUGUGUCCAGGAAUGCCAAGUGCAGAAGGGCUAUGCACGGGGCACCAUCAUGACCUGCUGCAGAGACCGUCCCUGAGAACAGAGGAGCAGAGAGAGAGAAGAGCAAGAGAUGGGCAAGGACAGAGUCACAAUCCCAGUGUCUGGCCCCUGCCUCCGGCCUUGUCUCAGCUAGCUCUGUCACUGGACUUUCAUUUGUCUGGGACCAAUAUCUCUCUUCCUUCCUAAAGAUGACUGCAGACUGGUUUCUGCCCUGUGUAAUGAAAAGAUCAUGAUGUGCACAGCUUUUUACCCCAUCUUAAGAAUAUUUGAGCACUUAUCUCCAUAGAGGGCAGAAUCUGUAAUGAAUUUACUUUUCAGUCCUCCAUAACACCUGUCGCAAGGUUUGUACAGUUUUCAAGAAAUACUGGGUAGAUGAAUGAAUGGAUACUGAAAAGACCCACUAAAAUUUAAUGCAAAUCUGUAACAACAGAUGCCCAUUUAAGGCACAUGGCAGAGGGCAAGGUGGCAUAGGGAGAAAGCAGUU
rnacentral:lncRNA from 1 species